ensembl:lncRNA
GGGAAAUGUGCAAAACUGAGAAGGUUGUAAAAAAAUUAAAUGAAAUCUGUAAUAUAAAUCAACAGUACAGUACAAGUGAAAUCCUGACAAGCGAGUUAGGUUUUAAAGCAGCCAGAGUAUCCCUGUUUUUUUGUUUUGUUUUUUAGAUCUUUUUUUUUCAGAAUUUUUUUUUCAGGCUAGAUGAAUGAGGUAGGAUGGAGUGGGAGGUGAAGGAAGGUGUUCUUACAGGUGUCUAGUCUCAGGCACGUUGAUGUUGACGUCCUGGAUAGUCUCCUUUUUCUUCUCUUCUCUCUCCUAUGUCUUUGUCUCCUUGUCCUGGAGCUUGUGCCUCAUUUCGUCCAUCUCCGUCUGCCGGUCCUUUUUUUUUUUUUUUUCAGAAUAUUUUUUUCAGGGUAGAUGGAUGAGGUAGGAUGGAGUGGGAGGUGAAGGAAGGUGUUCUUACAGGUGUCUAGUCUCAGGCACGUUGAUGUUGACGUCCUGGAUUAUCUCCUUUUUCUUCUCUCUCCUAUUUCUUUGUCUCCUUGUCCUGCAUCUUGCGCCUCAUUUCGUCCAUCUCUGUCUGCCGGUCUUUUUUUUUUUUUUUUUUUAAGUACAGGCAGAUGUUUUCAAGGACUGUUUUGUUGUCCUCUAAUUCUGGGAUCCUGGUGAUACGGAUCUAAUGUUCUUUGGGGAUGGUAUCCUCUGUUUGUUGGAUCUUAGAGAUCAGGCACAAUACAGUGAACCCACUGCUUGUGACCAUCUCUUGGUGGAUAUCCUCUUGGCUCUUUUUCAAAUUCAAAGAUUUUAUUGUCAAAUAUACCCCCCUUGUGUAUUGAAAUUCUUAUGCUUGCCUUUUCUGGACAGCCGACCAAUUUU